rnacentral:lncRNA from 1 species
CUUUUCCAAACUAGGAAAGAGUGUACAGCUGGCAUAUCAGCAGUUUUCUUCAUCGGUCACACAAAAGUCCUCUCCUAUUUGUACCAUCAUUUAGAAGCAGCCUCUCUCUUCCCUGUUGCUCAUCCCGACUGCGUGCAUCACCUCAGCACUACUGUAAGGCCUACAGUUUUCAGAUACUCUCUCAUUAUAUUUGACUUAUUUGCUUCAAUUCUAAUUACAUUGUAUUAUAGAGCGUUAUCCUGCAUUCCAGUACUGUAUUUAGUAAAUUAGUUUGUUUCUCCUCAGAUCAUUGCUGCUGUUUUAAAUUAUUUUGGGGUCCCCUGUUUCCCUUUUCUGGAGGCAUGGAUUUUGCAAAAUCUGUCUGCCUUGCUAGUCACAGAACUGGGCUGAACCAGCCCGUAAACUGUUGACACUUGCCUUACCUUAUAUUCUUCAAAAGUGUGUGUGUGUAUCUAAAGAACGAAUUUAAGACAACAUAAUUUUGAAGUUUGUCAUGGACUUUUAGCUAUGUGUGUGGCUUAUGUAAAUAACUCUCUUACAUUAUCUAUUAAACUAGUUAAAAUUAUCUUCAGACAGUUGUAUUGAUGAUUCUUAGUGUACGAAUCCUUAUUUGUUUUCUGGCUCAAAGCUUGUUUCCUGAGGUAUUUCUUGUAAUAAAACUCUAGGAGAUGAGAGAUGGGUGUAGCCAUGUGGCAAUCAACAUCACUGUCUGGACAAUUUUACAUUUGAAAUUUUACUUUAUUCCCCCAAACUUGAUGGUACCAGAACACUUGUAGCUCGCAUCGAGGUUAAUGGACAUAGAAAAUAGGUAUCAGGUAGUCCUAUUCAAUAUCUAUCAUCCCAUAUUUUGGAGCUAUGCAUCCUGCUUGGCCAGAAGGAAUCAAGGAUUCAUGUGAGUUAGAAAAGGUGGUGAUCAUGAAGUGGUUUGACUCCAUAUCAGUUCAUGAGGAAGCUCAUGAGUGUGAUGGAAACUCUACUUUCCAAUUGUUGCUUACAACAAAACUUCUGUAUCUUCCUCCAUAGUAGCUAAACAGAUUUUAGGUGUCUGGGAACCUAUGCCCUUUAGUUAUAUAAUCUCAUACCUAGCUGCUCCCUCUCCUUCAUCCAUGAAUCUUUUUCUUCAUGUUGGCACAACCGACACUCCCUCUAAGUCACUGCAGAUUUGCCUAAUUUAUUCUCCUCUAAUAUAUGUGUGAAAAUAUCAAUUUGAAUCCACUUAGUCUGAAGUGAUAUUUUAUUUAAAGUUAAUAAAUUCUUAUUUUGAAAGUGAAAACAAAUGAUCACUUUGAGUGAUCCAAUCUCACAGGGCCAUCACGCUCAGGACUGCAAUCUCCAUUUAGAGUUAGCAUUUCAAACAUGCUUCUGGAUUCUGUAGCUUUGGUAAGCUUAUUUCCCUCAUGAAUAUUGCUCUUGCUCUUCUGAAUGGUAUUUGUAUGUGCUGAACUGUCACCAAGUAUUGUACAGAGAACUUUGACUUCUAGGUUAAGUCUUUAUGAAACUCACUUUGUUCUGCUGGCCUAAGUGAAUUAGCCAAGUGGGGGGGUGGGGGGGGGUGGAAAUGGCUUUAGCAGGACAGAAGUAAUGACUAGUUUGCCACAUUUUUGCAUACUUCCAGAUCUUGUGAAAGAGGGCGUUAAUUUAGCAGAGAGUAAAUUUCUCUAUAAGAUUUUCCACAGACUGUAAAAGGAUUAAAUCUUGGCAAGACUAUCUGAUUUCUUCUCCAUGACUCCCAAGAUGUCUCUAAAGUGGAGGAAUGCCACGUUGUUUAGAGAACAUGACUCAUUCACAGCUACACUUAAAGACCAAUACUCUUUAAGAGAUGAGGAAGUAUCAUUGGUCUCAUCUGCAAAAGCAGCAGUUUGAGUAAGAAAGAAAGGCUACACCAAAGGUAGGUAACUUCCUUUACCUGAUGAAUGUAUUCAUUGAGUAGAUUAAGUAGAAAGUAGAAAUUAAUGUUUCAUACUGUCAUAACAAAUCUUAAGUAAAUCAUAUGAUAGAUGUGCUGAAGCUGGGUAUUCUUCCUCAGUUCUGUGAACAAAACAAAAAAGUUAUUUGAUUAAGUAAAAGCAGGUACAUAUUAAGAAGUGGAAAAAGAUUGGUAAUUCUUGUUUUGUUUUCUUUUCCUGAGACAGUAUGCAUGUUUAAAUUGCUUAUUUGAACAAAUUAAUCUCUUCUGUUCUUUUUAGUUCAGGAUCAGUGAAGAGACUUCUGUCUUUAUGAUGGUUCUAGAAAAUCAAAGCAUCUGGAGUUUAUGCUAAGAUUUAAUGUCAAUACUGAUUUAUUUUUUUUUUUUAGUUAUUACUUGCAAUUAGUGUCCUUGACCACAGCCUGAAGUAGCAUCUUUUAAGAACCGAUGGAGUUUAAGUCUCCAGAUGUCUGUGCUGAGCAUGUACAUAUUAGCCUGUUAUUUAUUCUAAUAACACCUUUCAUUUUGAAUGACAUAUGAUUUGGCCUAGGAAUAAUCAGCCAAGCAAGAAGCUCAUGUUUCCAGGCCCUGCCGAUAGAAUAGCUAACAAUACUGAAUCAGGACCUUAUGUGAUCCUGGUAAGUAGUUUACCACUAGUCUAAGAUGCUCAUCCAGUUUCUACUGCUGAUAAGUAAACACAGAUGACCAGUAAAAAAUAAAUAAAUAAAAAUUGGAUGAUUUGUUUGCUGCUCUGAAAAAUCUUUUGACAUCCUGUAUAAUGAGAUGUUUGCAUGUUAUAGCAAUAUGUUGUUUAUGUACAACCAAGUCUAAGCUGAUGCAUUUAGAAACCUUUUGGAGGGAACGAGCCAGGUGAAGACAAAGUAUAGAAUGGAUUAGGAAGACGAGUAUCAAAAGGCAAUAAUGGAUGCUUUAGAGCUCUUUUACCUUUGUCAUAAUUUAUAUUUAUCUCCAUUCCUUUUUCCUCUAUCAAUUUCCUAUCACCUACUAUUGGAAUAGAUGAAUAUUUAAUUAUGAUCACUCUAGGUACUCAGGAGAGCUGCAAGUUAAACAUCAGAAGAAACCAUCCAAUUUGGCAUUAACUUUGUGUCCUUGACACUGAAAUAUUGUUUCCUAUGGUGUCUUCAUCCAGAUCAAUUCUAAGUGCCCUGCACACUUUCCUUACCAGGCAUUUUGACAACAUAACCUUCUGAUACUGAGGCGUGAUUUAUACAGAUAUUGAAACUGUCCCUCCUGAAUUUUCAUACCUACUGUCUUAUACUAUGGAUAUCAUCCUAAAUAAUUCUUCUUCUGUUGUUAUUGUAUGUACCCUCCAAAGGCUUGAGAUGGCAAUAUCUCUUCUUUUACAACUUGAAAACCAAAUUGUGUGUAAUGCUUAAGCAAAUUAAUCACUGUUUAUUCCCUGAGGUUUUUUUUUCUUGAAACUCUAGUGAAUGGUCAUUAUUUUCAGCCAUGUCUGCAUUAGUUGCCAGAGUGGCAAACUACUAUUUACUGUGUGGAGCAAAACUAUUAACAGUGUAUUUGUUGUAAAGCAAAACUUCAGAAUGACUCUGGUCAUGCAAAUGCAAAACUUGUGAGUUCAAAUACAUUUCCCUGUCCUGAGUUACGUAAAAGGGGCCAACACAGUUGACUUCUAAUAUUGUGUCCGCUCUACAAACCAAAGAGUAAUAAAUGAGGAUGAGUGAGAUGUAUUUUCAAAGCACACUCCUAUCCCAUCUGAGACAGUGCAAGAAAGGCAAUGCCAGAUAACCAGUUCUAAAUGAACCAAAGAAGGGGUGAUGUUCAUAAUCCAGUCAAAGAAAUGUUUGUUUACCUGUUCCAAGUAUCAGGGCUUGCCAAAUACUCCAAGAAAUGAGAUCUCCAGGUUGAGAUCCUUCUCCUGUGGUAGCCAGCCCUUAAAUAAGGCUUAGGGAGGUGAAUUGCAUUCCCCGUGCUCCCAGGGCUGGCUGUGUCCCUUCACCAGGUACUCAGUCAUUGUUUCAGGCUGUGACUUAACAAUUCCCCUUAUCUCUGCAGCUCAAAGUGUCCUUGUGAAAAUUCACCAUGGCAGAUGGAAAAAGCCAAAUUUCAAUUGAAGUUACUAUACACUAUCUUACAGGCUUUUACUGUUUUGCCAGACUUCAUUUUUUUUAUUUAACACUCCUGCUACAGGUUGUAUAUUCUCAAAUAUAUUCAGUUGUAUCUUCUCUGAUCAGAAUCUUAUAUAAGGCCCUACUUUUUGUAAUGGUAAGGACUAGUCACUGAAACAAUGUACCUGGGGUCAUGAUAAACUCUCUAAAAUGUGAAGCUUUUAAAUUAAGAUUUGAUUUAUUUCUCAAAUAGAGGUCCUUGCUCAUCCUGAAGUUAUGAAAUUGAUGCAGGAAUCACUUCUUAAAAUUCUGUGGCUUGUGCUGUUCAGGAGGUCAGUCUGUGUUAUUAUAGUUCCUGCUGGUCUUAAAAUUUAUGGAACUACAAAACAUUUUAUAUAUUUUGUGUAUAUUACUAAUUCUGUCUCUUUAUGUACUGUUUCUCUUUCCUUGGAGGUUUUCAUAACACCUUCCAAAUGAAUUUAGUAUUGUCUCUGAAUUUUAUGUACUGUGUAUUCAACUGAAUACAUUGUCAUUUAUCAGUGCACUGUUUGUGGUCCUUCAGCAAGCUUUCAUUCUAUGUGACAGUGUUCAUAUCCAUGCCAAUUUGAUUUUUUUGUGAGUAGAAUUUCAUUUGAUGCUAUAUCAAAUAUUUCAAUAAAAAGCUAGAUACAUUCCAUCUACUUCAUUCCCCCAUUACUUCAUUAAAAUAAAGUAUUCAGAUUUGUCUGGAAUGAUUUGUACUUACUAAAACUGCUAAUUUUGAUUGUGGAUCACCAAGUGAGAGGUGCUGAAGAGUGGUGGAGAUUCUUUCUUUACCAACUGAAGCCUUUAAAAAUGUAGGAGGUGUGAUGAAUCUCACCCUAAUUCUUGAAUUUGAUAUUCAUUCUUACAUUCUUCCUAGUCACCUCCCACAACUGACAGCUGAGUACUGUGAUUAUUCUCUGUAGUGAUCACUGUUCAUAAAUGUCUGCAGAGAUCUAUGUUUACUCAGUUUCUGUAAUAAAGUAGUGUAAUAUAUACAUUUUCUUCUAGACUGUGGCACCAAAAGAAUGGUGGUGUUGAUGUUUAAUACUACUGCUCUCUAAGAACCUUCUCAGACAUGAACUCCAUCUCUCAUAUUUUUAAAUGUGAAGUAAGCCAGAAGACUGCUCUCCUGGAUUCUCUACCCAUCUCCCAAACUCUGCUGCUGACAAUAUGAAAGACUGCUUUUAAUGAUAUGUAUAUACACACAUACAAACUCUCACACAUCUGCAUUCAGAAGGCAAAGGAAAAAAUGAAGUUAGUAGAUCCAGCUACUAAAGGUUUAACAUAAUUAUAGAAGGUCAAGUCUGAGAUACCAGUUAGAUAAGGAAGUCAGUAGUUCAAAAGUGUUCUGCUAUGUUCAGAAUGAAAUUAUAACAGCUAAAAAUGGGAUCCUUUGAUCAUUCAUGUUCCAUGCCAGUGUAGCGGUAUGUAAAAGUUAUCUUGGGGGUUUAAAAAAAAAAAAAAGUAAUAAUAAUAAUUGAAGAAUUAUGUAGGAAAUUGCUAUGUUUGGUAAUUUUUUUUAAAAAAACAUUCUUAUGAUUUUGUUCUGCUCUAGAAUUUAAACAUAUUUAAAAAACAAUAAUACCUCCACAAAUGAAUUAUCAUCAACUGGAUAGAUAUAUAAAAGGGACAGCUCAUUAAGUAAGCAUUUUCUUCUAAUCAUGCUUGCAAAUGUUUGUAAAACCACUGGCUCCUGGCAGCUGUGUAAUCUUGCAGCUUAUUUCCUUAUAGAGUUUAUCACAGAGAAUAUUAGCAACCUGAUGGGAUGCCAAACAUGUGAAAUAGCUUUUUGUACAAAGGCACUUUUAAAAACCAUUGAGUAAAGUCUGCUAAUGGAAAUCAACAGCAAGAAAUUAAAUAUGUGGCUAAAACCAGAGAUCAUGUCAGCAGCUUGUUUUUAUUUAAAAUAUUGACUGGAUUUCUCAGCCUUACCUUAGAACAAAUACAAAAUAUUUUUUCUUUUAUAUAUAUAUAUAUAUAUAUACACUUUUUUUACCCCCCAAAAAUGUGUUUCUCAUAAUAUCUAGCUCUUGUUUAUUUGCAGGUUGUUUUGAAAGAAAGAUCA